UAAUUUAAACAGUGUUUAAACAUAACUUUGAAUUGUCUUAGGGCAAAAUUAAGCGUGUGCGCGCGUUUUUUGUGAAGAAAUGCAUUUUUUUGACAGUAUAUCAAUGUUAACUUCAUUAAUAGCUUUUGAACAUUCUCUUGACACUCUUGAAACAAAUAUGCACUAAAAAAUUCACCUCCACAGGUCUAAAGAUAUGUAAAAUUGUUUCAUUCAGAAUUAGAUUAGAAGCGGAGGAGAGAUUCAAGGAGCCCCUCACCUAAACCUCAUUCACCGAAAUCUGGUUCUACGUUGAGGAGGACAGGGAGCAAGUCCCCCACACCUGGUUGUUCAUCCUGGAUAGCGUCAGCUUCUGGUGGUUGUUGUGGAACACCAAAGAGGGGGAAUCCCUCUUGGAGGGAUAGAUCGCCGACGUCCCCACCCUCUGUUGUGUUCCCAAGAUUGGGUGCCAGAGCGGAUGCUAACGAGUUUUGUCUAUCCAGAACUGAGAGGAAUGGGAGAACCUGCAGAAUAUGCGACAGGAUGAUACCUCGCAGGGGCAUUUUGUUAUCUUCCAACAACCGGAAGGGGAAAUAUGUCUGCAACAACUGCUGGUUUUUCCCUGAUGUCCUGCCAAGAGGGAGUGUUGUAAUGCUAGGAAACAAGGUAGAUUUUGAGGAUGAAGAUUAUCAGAGGCUCGCGAAUGUUCGAAAGGAUAUAAAGUUUUACAGAAAUGGACAGAACUGAAACCCUGGAGAUAGCCGUUCAUUGACUGAAAUUAAAAGUCUGCAGACAUUUCUCCUGUAUACCUGUCAACUAUACAUUACAUUUAAUUUCAGAAAAAAUGAAACCUAAAAAGCAGUGCUUUUUGUGUGGAGAUCUGCUUGGUGUGACAUCGUUAGGCCGGCAUAUGUCCACGAAACAUCAUCUGAAUUUUAAACUGC